AUGAUGUGCGGUUUCAGUACUACUAGGUGUGAGGAGGAGGAGGUUAGCCUUGAUGGUCAGGUGGUACCUCGGAAGGACACCUUUCGGUAUUUGGGGUCAAUGCUGCAGGAGGAUGGGGGUAUUGAUGAAGAUGUGAACCAUCGGAUCAAAGCCGGAUGGAUGAAGUGGCGCCAAGCUUCUGGCAUUCUCUGUGACAAGAGAGUGCCACAAAAGCUAAAAGGCAAGUUCUACAGGACGGCUGUUCGACCCGCAAUGUUGUAUGGCGCUGAGUGUUGGCCGACUAAAAGGCGACAUGUUCAACAGUUAGGUGUGGCGGAGAUGCGUAUGUUGAGAUGGAUGUGUGGCCACACGAGGAAGGAUCGAGUCCGGAAUGAUGAUAUACGAGAUAGAGUUGGGGUAGCACCAAUUAAAGAGAAGCUUGUCCAACAUCGUCUGAGAUGGUUUGGGCAUAUCCAGCGCAGGCCUCCAGAAGCUCCAGUGCAUAGCGGAUGGCUAAAGCGUGUGGAGAAUGUCAAGAGAGGGCGGGGUAGACCGAAUUUGACAUGGGAGGAGUCCGUUAAGAGAGACCUGAAGGAUUGGGGUAUCACCGAAGAGCUAGCUAUGGACAGGGGUGCAUGGAAGCUUGCUAUCCAUGUGCCAGAGCCAUGA
rnacentral:rRNA from 1 species